CAGACAAUGAAAGCCAUGGUGAGGCAUGAAUUCGCGAUUCUAUCAGUUUGGAAAAUAUAAACAUCCUACGAUGACAAUGGACUAGAAGAUACUGAUAAUAAUAAUUGUUUUAUUCAACAUUGCAAUACAGCAGACAAUGAAAGCUAUGGUGAGACAUGAAUUCGCGAUUCUAUCAGUUUGGAAAAUAUAAACAUCCUACGAUGACAACGGACUAGAAGAUACUGAUAAUAAUAAUUGUUUUAUUCAACAUGGCAAUACAGCAGAUGACUCAAGGAAUGCUGAGACAUUUAUUCGUGUGCAUACAACUUUGGAAAAGUAUGAACAUCCAAUGUUGAAAAUGAACUAAAAGAUACUGAUUAUAAAGAAUUAAUGCAAUGUACGUGUAAUGGUUAUUGGCUGUAGUUGAUAGAAAA